GAUGAACGCUGGCGGCGUGCUUAACACAUGCAAGUCGAACGGAAGGACGCCUGCUUGCCGGCGUACUCGAGUGGCGAACGGGUGAGUGACACGUGGGUGAACUGCCCUGCACUUCGGGAUAAGCCUUGGAAACUGGGUCUAAUACCGGAUAGGACCACAUUUUGGGUGGUGUGGUGGAGAGAUUUGCGGUGUGGGAGGUGCUCGGGGCCUAUCAGCUUGUUGGUGGGGUAGUGGCCUAGCAAGGCGGCGACGGGUAGCCGGCCUGCGAGGGCGUAGGGCCAGUCUGGACCUGUGAGACAGGCCAGACUCCUGCGUGUUGCAGCAGUGGGGAAUACCGCACAAUGCGCGGCAGCGUGAUGCAGCGAGGCCGCGUGGGGGAUGAAGGCUUUCGUGUGGGAAGCACCUAUCGCUAGGGACGAGGCGUUUUUGUGACGGUACCUGAAGAAGAAGCACCGGCUAACUACGUG
rnacentral:rRNA from 1 species